GUCCACGCAGUAAACGAUGAGUGCUAGUUAUCGGGACUUUAGGUUUCGGUGGCGAAGCUAACGCGUUAAGCACUCCGCCUGGGGACUACGGUCGCAAGACUAAAACUCAAAGGAAUUGACGGGGACCCGCACAAGCAGUGGAUCAUGUGGUUUAAUUCGAUGCUACACGAAAACCUUACCAACCCUUGAAUCUGAGUGACCGAUACAGAGAUGUAUCUUUGGAGCAAUCCACAUUCAAGACAGGUGUUGCAUGGCUGUCGU
rnacentral:rRNA from 1 species